ACAGUACAAACUGAGCAGGCGAUGCCCGCAGGAUGAGAGAUCAAUCAUACUCAGGGCGUGGGGCCGGGCUGCACGAAGCGGCAGCAGAUAUGAAUAUUACAGACAUAUCUGUGGGACAGU
rnacentral:ncRNA from 1 species